rnacentral:rRNA from 1 species
GAUGAACGCUGGCGGCGUGCCUAACACAUGCAAGUCGAGCGAGAUGUAUAUGGACGAAACUUCGGUCUAGGAAAUAUAUUGACAGCGGCGGACGGGUAAGUAACGCGUAGGCAACCUGCCCCUGACAGAGGGAUAGCCAUUGGAAACGAUGAUUAAAACCUCAUAACGCCGAAGGAACACAUGUUUCAUCGGCCAAAGAUUUAUCGGUCAGGGAUGGGCCUGCGUCUGAUUAACUAGUUGGUGAGGUAACGGCUCACCAAGGUGACGAUCAGUAGCCGACCUGAGAGGGUGAUCGGCCACAUUGGAACUGAGACACGGUCCAAACUUCUACGGAAGGCAGCAGUAGGGAAUCUUGCACAAUGGGCGAAAGCCUGAUGCAGCAACGCCGCGUGAAGGAUGAAGGCCUUCGGGUCGUAAACUUCUGUUCUUAGGGAAGAAGAAAGUGACGGUACCUAAGGAGAAAGCCCCGGCUAACUACAUGCCAGCCGCCGCGGUAAGAC